AAUCUCAUCUAGAAAGUAAUACCCAUUACAUCUAGUAGCGAGUCUUGGAGCUAUCUUGGUAACAAUAUAGUUUAAGCGUAGACAGUCAGGUAUUAGGGCUAGUAUUGAGCUUCGAAAUGUAUAAUUUCAAGAGCGCAGACAUAAUCGUCCAGAUGGAAUGCUAUAUUUAAUAUUGCGAUAUGGGAAGUGAUAUUAAACUCUUGCGGAGUCUGAAA
rnacentral:ncRNA from 1 species